ncrna:unclassified sequences RT-4 RNA
UACACCGCAGACAGUUGAAAUACUGCUAUAUCCGCCUUUACAGGUUUUGGUGAGUGGAAAUUAUUCCGGUCAGGAGCUGCAAGUAGUAAGUAAUGUUCGAAAGCGGCGAGGAGAUAGAA